rnacentral:rRNA from 1 species
CCUACGCGUGGCAGCAGUGGGGAAUAUUGGGCAAUGGGCGCAAGCCUGACCCAGCAACGCCGCGUGAAGGAAGAAAGCUCUCGGGUUGUAAACUUCUUUUAUCAGGGACGAAGCAAGUGACGGUACCUGAUGAAGAAGCCACGGCUAACUACGUGCCAGCAGCCGCUGUAACCCGUAGGUGGCAAGCGUUAUCCGGAUUUACUGGGUGUAAAGGGCGUGUAGGCGGGAAAGCAAGUCAGAUGUGAAAACCAUGGGCUCAACCUGUGGCCUGCAUUUGAAACUGUUUUUCUUGAGUACGGGAGAGGCAGACGGAAUUCCUAGGGUAGCGGUGAAAUGCGUAGAUAUUAGGAGGAACACCAGUGGCGAAGGCGGUCUGCUGGACAGCAACUGACGCUGAGGCGCGAAAGCGUGGGGAGCAAACAGGAUUAGAUACCCGGGUAGUC